AGUCGAGCGUACGGGCCCUCCUUCGGGAGGGAAACCGAGCGGCAUAAGGGUGAGUAAUACUUAGGUAACUUGCCCUCGGGUAGGGGACAACCACGGGAAACUGUGGCUAAUACCGUAUACGUUCCCCACCACUACGGUGGAGGGGAGGAAAGGGGGGCAACUCCCGCCCGAGGAUGGGCCUAAGUCCUAUUAGCUAGUUGGUGAGGUAAUGGCUCACCAAGGCGACGAUGGGUAGCCGGCCUGAGAGGGUGAUCGGCCACACUGGGACUGAGACACUGCCCAGACUCCUACGGGAGGCUGCAGUCGAGAAUCAUCCGCAAUGGACGAAAGUCUGACGGUGCGACGCCGCGUGAAGGAAGAAGGCCUUCGGGUUGUAAACUUCUGUCACGGGUUAAGAAAUCUGUAUGGGUAACGCCAUACGGUUGACGAAACCGAAAGGAAGCCAUGGCUAACUCCGUGCCAGCAGCCGCGGUAAUACGGAGAUGGCUAGCGUUGUUCGGUAUCACUGGGCUUAAAGGGGGCGCAGGCGGCCCAGUCAGUCGGUAGGUGAAAUCCCUCGGCACAACCGAGGAACUGCCUCCGAUACUGCUGGGCUAGAGGCUCGUAGGGGAGAACAGAAUUCCUGGUGUAGCGGUGAAAUGCGUAGAUAUCAGGAAGAAUGCCGGUGGCGAAGGCGGUUCUCUGGGCGAGAUCUGACGCUGAGGCCCGAAAGCUGGGGGAGCGAACAGGAUUAGAUACCCUGGUAGUCCCAGCUGUAAACGAUGAGCACUGCGUAGAGGUACUUCGGUUUCUCUGCUCAAGCAAAAGUUUUAAGUGCUCCGCCUGGGGAGUAUGGUCGCAAGGCUGAAAACUCAAGUAAUUGACGGGGGCUCACACAGGCGGUGGAGGAUGUUCUUUAAUUCGAAGCAACGC
rnacentral:rRNA from 1 species